AUUGAACGCUGGCGGCAUGCCUUACACAUGCAAGUCGAACGGCAGCACGGGAGCAAUCCUGGUGGCGAGUGGCGAACGGGUGAGUAAUAUAUCGGAACGUGCCCAGUAGUGGGGGAUAGCCCGGCGAAAGCCGGAUUAAUACCGCAUACGACCUACGGGUGAAAGCGGGGGAUCGCAAGACCUCGCGCUAUUGGAGCGGCCGAUAUCAGAUUAGCUAGUUGGUGGGGUAAAGGCCUACCAAGGCGACGAUCUGUAGCUGGUCUGAGAGGACGACCAGCGACACUGGGACGGGGACACGGCCCAGACUCCUACGGGAGGCAGCAGUGGGGAACUUUGGACAAUGGGCGCAAGCCUGAUCCAGCCAUGCCGCGUGCGGGAAGAAGGCCUUCGGGUUGUAAACCGCUUUUGUCAGGGAAGAAACGGUCCGCGCUAAUACCGUGGGCUAAUGACGGUACCUGAAGAAUAAGCACCGGCUAACUACGUGCCAGCCGCCGCGGUAA
rnacentral:rRNA from 1 species